rnacentral:rRNA from 1 species
CCUACGGGAGGCAGCAGUGAGGAAUAUUGGUCAAUGGGCGCGAGCCUGAACCAGCCAAGUAGCGUGAAGGAUGACUGCCCUACGGGUUGUAAACUUCUUUUAUAAAGGAAUAAAGUGAGGCACGUGUGCCUUUUUGUAUGUACUUUAUGAAUAAGGAUCGGCUAACUCCGUGCCAGCAGCCGCGGUAAUACGGAGGAUGCGAGCGUUAUCCGGAUUCAUUGGGUUUAAAGGGUGCGCAGGCGGGCCUUUAAGCCGGCGGUGAAAUCGCGGGGCUCAACCCCGCCGAGCCGUCGGAACUGGGGGCCUUGAGUGCGGCGGAGGCAUGCGGAAUGCGCGGUGUAGCGGUGAAAUGCAUAGAUAUCGCGCAGAACCCCGAUUGCGAAGGCAGCGUGCCGUGCCGCCACUGACGCUGAGGCACGAAAGCGCGGGGAUCGAACAGGAUUAGAUACCCUUGUAGUC